UACGUAGGGGGCAAGCGUUGUCCGGAUUUAUUGGGCGUAAAGAGCGUGUAGGCGGCUAGGUAGGUCCGUUGUGAAAACUCGAGGCUCAACCUCGAGACGCCGGUGGAAACCAUCUAGCUAGAGUCCGGAAGAGGAGAGUGGAAUUCCUGGUGUAGCGGUGAAAUGCGCAGAUAUCAGGAGGAACACCGAUGGCGAAGGCAGGUCUCUGGGCCAUUACUGACGCUGAGGAGCGAAAGCGUGGGGAGCGAACAGG
rnacentral:rRNA from 1 species